CGUGCGCACCGAGAAGGUCUACGGUUCGAAUCCGUAUAGCCCUAAUAUGUCCUUUUUUAGAUUUUAGGAGAGAUAUCCUACGUUUCCU
rnacentral:tRNA from 2 species